ensembl:snoRNA SNORA70 Small nucleolar RNA SNORA70
CUGCAGCCAAUGAAGCCGACUGUGCUGCCCUCCCCAUGGCGCCUGGUGUGCAGUGGCUGCCAACAGCAGCCUCCUGGUCGUGUGUGCAGCUGCUGCUGGGAUGGCUGCCCUGAGGGGCCCUGGAGACGCCC